UGGGGUUGUGGCUCAGUGGUAGAGCACAUGGCUAGCACAUGUGAGGCACUGGGUUCAAUCCUCAGCACCACAA
rnacentral:tRNA from 1 species